GUUUAUAAGAUUCUGGGAAUGUGCGGGGCCAACCUAGUAGAAUCUGUGAUGGGGAUAGGCGUGAUGGUGGUUUUAGUAUUUCUGUGAUGGUUGAGAGUAUGAGAGACCAGAAUCCCUGGAUGUCUCUGCAGCUCCACCAUAUGUGUUCCAUGUCGCCGCGGCCAUUAGAGCAUCUCCAACAUGAACCGCUGAUGGACGGCCAGAUUGAGUGUAACUUGUGUACUGAUAUUUUGAUUGUUGUAUUGCUUUAUGCACUAUUCCUUUCUUCAUUAUUUCUGAUCCUG